rnacentral:rRNA from 1 species
AUACCGGAUAGUGCAUCGAUUGCUGGAAUGCAUGAUGUACGAAAGCUGAGGCGCCCAAGGAUAGGUCUGUGGCCGAUUAGGUUGUUGUUGAUGUAACGGAUCAACAAGCCUACGAUCGGUACGGGUUGUGAGAGCAAUAGCCCGGAGAUGGGUUCUGAGAGAAGAACCCAGGUCCUACGGGACGCAUCAGGCGCGAAAACUUUACAAUGUGCGAAAGCACGAUAAGGGAACUCUGAGUGCCUCCUAAGGAGGCUGUUCAGAUGUUUAAAAAGCAUCUGGAGGAAGGGCUGGGCAAGACCGGUGCCAGCCGCCGCGGUAACACCGGCAGCCCAAGUGGUAGUCAUGCUUACUGGGUCUAAAGCGUCCGUAGCCGGCUAGGUAAGUUCCUUGGGAAAUUUGAUCGCUUAACGAUCAAGCUACCUGGGAAUACUACUUGGCUUGGGACCGGGAGAGGUCAGAGGUACUUCAAGGGUAGGGGUGAAAUCCGUUAAUCCUUGGGGGACCACCAGUAGCGAAGGCGUCUGAUCAGACCGGAUCCGACGGUGAGGGACGAAGGCUAGGGGAGCGAAGCGGAUUAGAUACCCGCGUAGUCCUAGCUGUAAACGAUGCGGGCU